CGGCUACCGGCGUGAGCCGGUUGGUGAAUGGCGGCCGCCGCCGUCGGAGAGCUGGCCGGCGGGGGUGGGGCGUAGAGGCUUCUUUGGUCGCGCCUUGACACGACGCAUGCGAGCAACUGCUGUUGGCUCGAGCGUGGCAUUUGGAGAUCGCACGCGUACUUUGUACCUCUGCUCAUUUGACGUGUUGUCACGGAUCAUGAAAGUCUUUGAUGCAUGAGGCUGCUCCAUGAUCUCAGGUGCACCAACCCCAAGACCACAGAUCAGUACCAGUUCUGCACAGCAGGGCCAGUAACCAGGCUGCGCAGCAGGAGGCAAUUGGCAGGCAAACCUGAAUUGAUUUUGAUGAAAUUCAACUGGUUAAUUCCUCACUGAUGGACAUUGUGAAUAUCAAUGAUCAAUGUCUCUUCUCUCCAGUGUUCUUGCCAAUGAGAAAGGGAACAGAGUUUUCCUUAAAUCCUUUUUAAGAGGGGAUAAUUCUGGCUACUGGACAUGUAAGACUUCAUUCAGAAUGGCAAACAUCUUGUGGUGGUUGUAUCCUAUUUAGGAUUUUAUCCUACAACCAUGCACACAAUUUAUGAUUAUGAAAUCAUUAAACAUGGCCCUUCAAGGUU